rnacentral:rRNA from 1 species
UACGUAGGUCCCGAGCGUUGUCCGGAUUUAUUGGGCGUAAAGCGAGCGCAGGUGGUUUAUUAAGUCUGGUGUAAAAGGCAGUGGCUCAACCAUUGUAUGCAUUGGAAACUGGUAGACUUGAGUGCAGGAGAGGAGAGUGGAAUUCCAUGUGUAGCGGUGAAAUGCGUAGAUAUAUGGAGGAACCCCGGUGGCGAAAGCGGCUCUCUGGCCUUUAACUGACACUGAGGCUCGAAAGCGUGGGGAGCAAACAGG